UACGUAGGGGGCUAGCGUUGUCCGGAAUCAUUGGGCGUAAAGAGCUCGUAGGCGGCUUGUCACGUCGGGUGUGAAAGCCCGGGGCUUAACCCCGGGUCUGCAUUCGAUACGGGCUGGCUAGAGUGUGGUAGGGGAGAUCGGAAUUCCUGGUGUAGCGGUGAAAUGCGCAGAUAUCAGGAGGAACACCGGUGGCGAAGGCGGAUCUCUGGGCCAUUACUGACGCUGAGGAGCGAAAGCGUGGGGAGCGAACAGG
rnacentral:rRNA from 1 species